AGGACGGGAUCGCGACUUGAGACCUGUUCUUUCCUUAUUAAUAUUAGUAUGUAUUUUUUUUUUCUACUAGGGUAAAAGGGAUAAGCGGGAACAUGUUAUGCAUGUACACUGCGUUCCAAAUUUAAAAGCAAGCACCUGAUAGACAAUCUGUUCAACAUAUUACCCAAAGGACUCUCAGAGUCCAUCACUCAUUCAUUUAAAACAUCGCUAGUUCCAAUAAAAAAGGGACUCCUACUACUUACCCAAAACACAUUUAUCAU